GUUUACAUCUAAAGCUAAACUGGGUUGUCUGGAAUGUCCUUGGAUGAGAGACCACCUGAGAUUAACAAGUGCUGUAAGUU
ensembl:rRNA 5S_rRNA 5S ribosomal RNA